GCGGACUCCAGCGGCUCACUCCAGCGGCUCCCAGUCGACGGUGCUCGCCGGAAUCCAGUUGCAGCGGCGGUGGAUUCCUCGGCUAGAUACAGAUCGAGAGAGAACCGAAGGGAGCGUUUGAUUUAGGAGAGAUUAGAGCGAGAUUGAGGAAGAGAGAAGGAGGCGCCGGACCUCGGCGCGAUAGAGGCUGAUUCGCCGGAUUUCGGAGCUCUGCAACUCCAGGCCGCG
rnacentral:lncRNA from 1 species